rnacentral:rRNA from 1 species
AUUGAACGCUGGCGGCAUGCCUUACACAUGCAAGUCGAACGGCAGCACGGGAGCAAUCCUGGUGGCGAGUGGCGAACGGGUGAGUAAUAUAUCGGAACGUGCCCAGUCGUGGGGAUAACGUAGCGAAAGCUACGCUAAUACCGCAUACGAUCUAUGGAUGAAAGCGGGGGAUCGCAAGACCUCGCGCGAUUGGAGCGGCCGAUAUCAGAUUAGGUAGUUGGUGAGGUAAAGGCUCGCCAAGCCGACGAUCUGUAGCUGGUCUGAGAGGACGACCAGCCACACUGGGACUGAGACACGGCCCAGACUCCUACGGGAGGCAGCAGUGGGGAAUUUUGGACAAUGGGCGCAAGCCUGAUCAGCAAUGCCGCGUGCAGGAUG